rnacentral:rRNA from 2 species
AUUGAACGCUGGCGGCAUGGCUAAAACAUGCAAGUCGAACGAGAACCCCGCAAGGGGGGACAGUGGCGGAAGGGCGAGUAAUGCAUUCGAACGUGCCCCGAGGUGUGGGAUAGGCAUGGGAAACUGUGCGUAAUACCACAUGUGAUCUCCGGAUGAAAGCCGAAAGGCGCCUUGGGAGCGGCGAAUGUCCUAUCAGGUAGUUGGUGGGGUAAUGGCCUACCAAGCCUAAGACGGGUAGCCGGUGUGAGAGCACGGCCGGCCGCAUCGGGACUGAGACACUGCCCGGACUCCUACGGGAGGCUGCAGUAACGAAUAUUCCGCAAUGGGCGAAAGCCUGACGGAGCAAUGCCGCGUGCAGGAUGAAGCGGUUUCGCCGUGUAAACUGCUGUCAGGUCCUAGGAACACUGACCGGGACCAGAGGAAGGGUCGGCUAACUCUGUG